rnacentral:rRNA from 1 species
UACGUAGGGUGCAAGCGUUGUCCGGAAUUAUUGGGCGUAAAGAGCUCGUAGGCGGUCUGUCGCGCGGCUGUGAAAAUCCGGGGCUCAACCCCGGACUUGCAGUGGGUACGGGGCAGACUAGAGUGUGGUAGGGGAGACUGGAAUUCCUGGUGUAGCGGUGGAAUGCGCAGAUAUCAGGAGGAACACCGAUGGCGAAGGCAGGUCUCUGGGC